rnacentral:lncRNA from 1 species
GUUUUCACUUGACCUCGACCUCAUUUCAUGGAUCAGUGAACAAGGCUAAGUUUUGGUGGUCAAGUCCAUAUCUCAGAUACUACAAGCAAUAGGGAUAGUAUAUUCGGUGUAUGGAAGGACUGUAAGGUGUACAUGUCCAACUGGCAGGUGUCAUAUGACCUUGAUCUCAUUUUCAUGGUUCAGUGGUUAUAGUUAAAUUUUUGUGUUUUGGUCUGUUUUUCUCAUACUAUAUGCAAUAGGUCUACUAUAUUUGUUGUAUGGAAUGAUUGUAAGGUGUACCUAUCUAACGG